rnacentral:tRNA from 1 species
GGGCGAGUGUCGGAAUUGGCAGACGAGCAUGACUUAGGAUCAUGUGCCGCAAGGCGUGAGGGUUCGAGUCCCUCCUCGCCCA